rnacentral:rRNA from 1 species
CUACGGGCCGCUGCAGUAGGGAAUCUUGCACAAUGGACGAAAGUCUGAUGCAGCGACUCCGCGUGGAGGAUGACGCAUUACGGUGUGUAAACUCCUUUUCUGGGGGAAGACGACUGACGGUACCCCAGGAAUAAGGGACGGCUAACUACGUGCCAGCAGCCGCGGUAAUACGUAGGUCUCGAGCGUUAUCCGGAGUUACUGGGCGUAAAGCGUCCGUAGCCGGGCUAGUAAGUCUAAUUUCAAAGACCGGGGCUUAACCUCGGAAAGGGAUUAGAUACUGCUAAUCUAGAGGUAGAUAGAGGUCAAUGGAAUUCCAAGUGGAGAGGUGAAAUUCGUUGAUAUUUGGAGGAAUGCCGAAAGCGAAAGCAGUUGGCUAGAUCUAACCUGACGGUCAGGGACGAAAGCUUGGGUAGCAAACAGGAUUAGAUACCCUGGUAGUC